rnacentral:lncRNA from 1 species
GUCUCAGCCUUACUUUACCCAACCGCUAUUCAAGACGGAGUCAGUCUGGUUCAAAUGCCUCUGACAGCACUGUUAUUAAAACUCAGUUUGUUUAUAUAGUAACAUAUUAUUUUACUGUAAAGGGCUUUCCACACAUUUUAUUGUGAUGAAACUGGAAGAAGCUUUCCUUAAGUAAAGGAAACAUUAGAAGAAACUCAUCACGGGGCCGGGCGCGGUGGCUCACGCCUGGAAUCCCAGCACUUUGGAAGGCGGAGGCGGGCGGAUCACGAGGUCAGGAGAUCGAGACCAUCUUGGCUAACACGGUGACACCCCCUCUCUACUAAAAAUACAAUUAGCCGGGCGUGGUGGUGGGCGCCUGUAGUCCCAGCUACUCGGGAGGCUGAGGCAGGAGAAUGGCGUGAACCCGGGAGGCGGAGCUUGCAGUGAGCCGAGAUUGCGCCACUGCACUUCAGCCUGGGCGACAGAGUGAGAUUCUGUCUCAAAAUAAAUAAACAAACAAACAAAUAAGAAGAAACUCAUCACCAAAGGCCCCAUGGAAUAUCUGCAAUACCCUGAAGACCAUGAUGUUCAGCAGCAACAAGGAAGUGCCACAAGAAAGCAUAACCAUUGAUCAUUGACAAAAUGACUUGGCUCUAUCUGGAUUUAUGUAAGAAAUCCUUUUCUUAACCAAGGAAUUUAGAAGAACAGAAAAAGUAGUGGAGUCAAAUAAAUUCCAGAACACGAAUAGUAGACAUUGUAGAAUCAGAAAUAGUAGAGAUUAAUACCUUUCCUCUCCAUCAUGAGGGGCAUGGCCAACAUUCAUAACAAAAUGAGAGCAGCAGGAGGUAGACAAAUGCCUAAGUAGACAGAGGAAGGUCCCGAGUGAAACCCCACCUUCAAUCCAAAAUCAGCCCGAGACCUGCAACCUAGAGUGAGAUCUUCUAUUCCUGUUUGCCUGCUCUUUCCCAAUUGGUUCUUUCUGAAUAAUGCUUUUAAACUAACCAAAAGUUACCUAUUCCAAUGCUACCUUCGUCCCACCCCUCCCCAUCCUGUGCUUGUAAAAACCCUAGACUCAUCCACACCGGGGGAGAAACCACCUGACUUCGGGUGGGGAAGCUCUCCUGUGACCCCUCUCCACUGAGAGCUGUUUUGUCACUCAAUAAAAUUCUUCUCCACCCUCCUCACCCUUCAAUUGUCAGCAUAUCCUCAUUUUUCUAGGACACAGGACAAGAACUCAGGAAUCACCAGACCCAUAAUAUGAGCUAUAACACAGAUGGGCUGGG